AUCAAAUUUCUAAAGUUAUGCAUGAUAUAAAAAUACAUAAAUAUAUAUAAUCCAAGAUAUAGUAAUUAAAUAGGAACUCUCAUGAAUGACAUAUGGUCUAAAAUCAUACUUUUUUUUAAAAAAGAUUUUAUUUAUUUAUUCAUGAGAGACACAGGCAGGGGGAGAAGUAGGCUCCAUUCAGGGAGUUUGAUAUGGGACUAUAUCCAGAACUCCAGGAUCAUGCCCUGAGCCAAAAGCAGAUGCUCAACUGCUGAGCCACCCAGAUGUCCCUAAAAAUAGAUCACUUAGACUCAGUUUUCACUGUUUCUUUAUGUAUUACUAAUCCUGCCUUAGUUUCUCCGGACUCUUGUAGUCAUGACCCUUUUGUGGCUCUCAUAGAAGAUAGCAGUAUUUGAUAUUAUUUUGUCUCUUCUUCAGUUUUUUUGUCUUGGUCAUGUGACUUGCUUUGGUCAAUAGGAAGAUGAGCAGCAAUGAGCCAUGGCUUAUGCAUCCUGAUCAGAAGAUUUUAGAGGGCUUGUGAGUUGUAAUGAGCACACUAUGAAGGUGCACACGAGCUGUGUCUUUCCACAACGUCAUCUUAUUUAGUCAUAAAGCAAGGUUAACAUAGUUAUACAGCAGGUUCAAGAUUACAAACUCAAUAACAUUUCACUACAUGGUUAACUUGGCUUUUUACACUGCACACAAAGCUGAACACAGGAUAAGUCAAACAGGAUAACAAACAGGAUAACACAGAAUGUAGGAAGUUAACGAACCCAACUUAAAGUCAAUAUGUGGGCGUGCAGUUGAGAUAAGGCCGUGGUUUGGUCUGGGUCUACUCUUGGCACUUAACUAUUUAUUAUGUUCAAGCAGUGAAGGAUUUGUGUUCUCUUCAGAGAUGAAUCAGGCAGAGCUUUCUGUGGCAGCUCCCCGUUUGAAGUGGUCAGACUGCUCAGCAAAGUUAUUUGUGCAAUUAUUAGAAGAUGAGGAUUGCCGUAGUGAAUGUAGCUUGAAGCCACUUUCAAUUUGCCACAGGACUGGCAAAUAGAGCCUCACCUUAAUGACUCCAAAGUGCUCCCUAACACCUUGAUCGUGAAGAAAAUUGAUGAAACUCACAGAUGCAGAACUGCUGAGGGAGACAGAAUUUAACUACAGACUCUGUGACCAUAAAUGAAGGCUGCCAUCUUCCUUUUUUAUGAAAUAAAUAAAAAGAAUAUUGAUUCUUUCA
rnacentral:lncRNA from 12 species